rnacentral:rRNA from 1 species
CUCCGGGUUGAUCCCGCCCGGACCCGACUGCUAUCAGAGUGGGACUAGAGCCAUGCGAGUCAACGUAGCAAUACGUGGCAUACGGCUCAGUAACACGUAGUCAACAUGCCCAGGGGACGAGGAUAACCUCGGGAAACUGAGGAUAAACCUCGAUAGGCCAUGAUUUCUGGAAUGAUUCUUGGCUCAAACCUAUAUGGCCCCUGGAUUGGACUGCGGCCGAUCAGGCUGUUGGUGAGGUAAUGGCCCACCAAACCUAUUACCGGUACGGGCUCUGAGAGGAGGAGCCCGGAGAUGGGCACUGAGACAAGGGCCCAGGCCCUAUGGGGCGCAGCAGGCGCGAAACCUCUGCAAUAGGCGAAAGCUUGACAGGGUUACUCUGAGUGAUUUCCGCUAAGGGAAUCUUUUGGCACCUCUAAAAAUGGUGCAGAAUAAGGGGUGGGCAAGUCUGGUGUCAGCCGCCGCGGUAAUACCAGCACCCCGAGUGGUCGGGACGAUUAUUGGGCCUAAAGCAUCCGUAGCCGGUCCUGCAAGUCUUCCGUUAAAUCCAGCUGCUCAACAGAUGGGCUGCGGGAGAUACUACAGGGCUAGGAGGCGGGAGAGGCAAGCGGUACUUUAUGGGUAGGGGUAAAAUCCGUUGAUCCAUUGAAGACCACCAGUGGCGAAGGCGGCUUGCCAGAACGCGCUCGACGGUGAGGGAUGAAAGCUGGGGGAGCAAACCGGAUUAGAUACCCGGGUAGUCCCAGCUGUAAACGAUGCAGACUCGGUGAUGAGUUGGCUUAUUGCUAACUCAGUGCCGCAGGGAAGCCGUUAAGUUUGCCGCCUGGGGAGUACGGUCGCAAGACUGAAACUUAAAGGAAUUGGCCGGGGGAGCA